rnacentral:misc_RNA from 1 species
UCCGGUUUGUCACCGGCAGUCUCAUUAGAGUGCCCUUGCGUAGCAACUAAUGAUAAGGGUUGCGCUCGUUGCGGGACUUAACCCAACAUCUCACGACACGAGCUGACGACAGCCAUGCACCACCUAUCACGGGCCCCGAAGGACACCGUAUUUCUACGGCUUUUCCCGCAUAGUUCAGCCCAGGUAAGGUUCUUCGCGUUGCAUCGAAUUGAGCCACAUGCUCCGCCGCUUGUGCGGGCCCCCGUCAAUUCCUUUGAGUUUCAACCUUGCGGUCGUACUCCCCAGGCGGGGUACUUCCUGCGUUAGCGCCGGCACCCAGAGGGUCGCUCCCCCAGGCACCUAGUACCCAUCGUUUAGGGCUAGGACUAC